rnacentral:rRNA from 1 species
AAACUUACACAUGCAAGUCGAACGCCAUCUUCGGAUGGAGUGGCAGACGGGUGAGUAACGCGUGGGAACGUACCCUUUGGUUCGGAAUAUUCUCGGGAAACUGGGAGCAAUACCGGAUAAGCCCUACGGGGGAAAGAUUUUAUCGCCAAAGGAGCGGCCCGCGUCAGAUUAGGUAGUUGGUGGGGUAAAGGCCUACCAAGCCUACGAUCUGUAGCUGGUCUGAGAGGAUGAUCAGCCACACUGGGACUGAGACACGGCCCAGACUCCUACGGGAGGCAGCAGUGGGGAAUCUUGGACAAUGGGCGCAAGCCUGAUCCAGCCAUGCCGCGUGGAUGAUGAAGGCCUUAGGGUUGUAAAAUCCUUUCAACGGGGACGAUAAUGACGGUACCCGUAGAAGAAGCCCCGGCUAACUUCGUG